rnacentral:rRNA from 1 species
ACGAACGCUGGCGGCGUGCUUAACCCAUGCAAGUCGAACGGAAAGGCCCUGCUUUUGUGGGGUGCUCGAGUGGCGAACGGGUGAGUAACACGUGAGUAACCUGCCCUUGACUUUGGGAUAACUUCAGGAAACUGGGGCUAAUACCGGAUAGGAGCUCCUGCUGCAUGGUGGGGGAUGGAAAGUUUCGGCGGUUGGGGAUGGACUCGCGGCUUAUCAGCUUGUUGGUGGGGUAGUGGCUUACCAAGGCUUUGACGGGUAGCCGGCCUGAGAGGGUGACCGGCCACAUUGGGACUGAGAUACGGCCCAGACUCCUACGGGAGGCAGCAGUGGGGAAUAUUGCACAAUGGGCGGAAGCCUGAUGCAGCAACGCCGCGUGCGGGAUGACGGCCUUCGGGUUGUAAACCGCUUUCGCCUGUGACGAAGCGUGAGUGACGGUAAUGGGUAAAGAAGCACCGGCUAACUACGUG